UACGUAGGAUGCAAGCGUUGUCCGGAAUUAUUGGGCGUAAAGCGAACGUAGGCGGCUUCUUAAGUUUGGUCUUAAAGACCGGGGCUCAACCCCGGGAAUGGACUGAAUACUGGGAGGCUGGAGGAUGUCAGAGGAAAGUGGAAUUCCCAGUGUAGCGGUGAAAUGCGUAGAUAUUGGGAAGAACACCGGUGGCGUAAGCGGCUUGCUGGGCUUUAACUGACACUGAGGAACGAAAGCUAGGGGAGCGAAUGGG
rnacentral:rRNA from 1 species